rnacentral:rRNA from 1 species
GCAGUCGAGCGCACCCUUCGGGGUGAGUGGCAGACGGGUGAGUAACGCGUGGGAACCUACCUAUCGGUUCGGAAUAACGUUCGGAAACGGACGCUAAUACCGGAUACGCCCUUCGGGAGAAAGAUUUAUCGCCGAUUGAUGGGCCCGCGUUGGAUUAGCUAGUUGGUGAGGUAACGGCUCACCAAGGCGACGAUCCAUAGCUGGUCUAAGAGGAUGAUCAGCCACACUGGGACUGAGACACGGGCCAGACUCCUACGGGAGGCAGCAGUGGGGAAUAUUGGACAAUGGGCGAAAGCCUGAUCCAGCCAUGCCGCGUGAGUGAUGACGGCCUUAGGGUUGUAAAGCUCUUUCGCUAGGGAAGAUAAUGACGGUACCUAGUAAAGAAGCCCCGGCUAACUUCGUGCCAGCAGCCGCGGUAAUACGAAGGGCGCUAGCGUUGUUCGGAAUUACUGGGCGUAAAGCGCGCGUAGGCGGAUCAUUAAGUCAGGGGUGAAAUCCCGGGGCUCAACCUCGGAAUUGCCUCUGAUACUGGUGGUCUUGAGUCCGUGAGAGGUGAGUGGAACUCCGAGUGUAGAGGUGAAAUUCGUAGAUAUUCGGAAGAACACCAGUGGCGGAAGGCGGCUCACUGGCACGGUACUGACGCUGAGGUGCCAAAGCGUGGGUAGCAAACAGGAUUAGAUACCCUGGUAGUCCACGCCGUAAACGAUGAUACCUAGCCGUCGGGGUGCAUGCAUCUCGGUGGCGC